rnacentral:rRNA from 1 species
UACGUAGGGUGCGAGCGUUGUCCGGAAUUACUGGGCGUAAAGAGCUCGUAGGUGGUUUGUCGCGUCGUUCGUGAAAACCGGGGGCUUAACCCUCGGCGUGCGGGCGAUACGGGCAGACUUGAGUACUGCAGGGGAGACUGGAAUUCCUGGUGUAGCGGUGGAAUGCGCAGAUAUCAGGAGGAACACCGGUGGCGAAGGCGGGUCUCUGGGCCGAUACUGACGCUGAGGAGCGAAAGCGUGGGGAGCGAACAGG